GACGAACGCUGGCGGCGUGCUUAACACAUGCAAGUCGAACGGAAAGGCCCUGCUUGCAGGGUGCUCGAGUGGCGAACGGGUGAGUAACACGUGGGUGAUCUGCCCCUUACUUUGGGAUAAGCCUAGGAAACUGGGUCUAAUACUGGAUAGGACCAUGCUGUAGGUGGUGUGGUGGAAAGAUUAGUUUCGGUAAAGGAUGAGCUCGCGGCCUAUCAGCUUGUUGGUGGGGUAAUGGCCUACCAAGGCGUCGACGGGUAGCCGGCCUGAGAGGGUGGACGGCCACAUUGGGACUGAGAUACGGCCCAGACUCCUACGGGAGGCAGCAGAGGGGAAUAUUGCACAAUGGGCGCAAGCCUGAUGCAGCGACGCCGCGUGGGGGAUGACGGCCUUCGGGUUGUAAACUCCUUUCAGCCAUGACGAAGCCCUUGUGGUGACGGUAGUGGUAGAAGAAGCACCGGCUAACUACGUG
rnacentral:rRNA from 1 species